CUACAUGAAGCUGGAAUCGCUAGUAAUCGCGGAUCAGAAUGCCGCGGUGAAUACGUUCCCGGGUCUUGUACACACCGCCCGUCACACCAUGGGAGUCGGAAAUGCCCGAAGUCUGUGACCCAACCUACGGGAGGGAGCAGCCGAAGGCAGGUCGGAUGACUGGGGUGAAGUCGUAACAAGGUAGC
rnacentral:rRNA from 1 species